rnacentral:lncRNA from 1 species
GAGGCAGGGUUUCACCAUGUUGUUCAGGCUGGUCUUGAACUCUUGACCUCAGGUAAUCCACCCGCCUCGGCCUCCCAAAGUUCUGGGAUUACAGGUGUGGGCCACCGUGGCUGGCCUUAGUGACGUUUUUUUUGUGGCUCUAGCAGCUCUUGGCAAAUGAUCCCCCGUGAAGAAAGCAGCCAACUCCCUGGCUCAUCUCCCGCUUUCUGUUUGGACUGUGGGGUGUAAGAUGCUACUUUGGACAUGGUCAGAGAGAGCAUCUGCCACCUGGCAUGAAUGCCGCUACGUACCGUUUGCCUGUCUAGCUGAAGAGUGCCUCUGGGUAGAGUGCCUCUGUGUGGGUUUUCUUCCUGGAGCUGCCGGGUACCUGGUUUUGCAUGGCUCUCCAUGAAACCUCGGGAAUGAGCCUUCCUUGAGCCGCAUCUGUGUGCCGUUCCUCCCUGCUGGUGGGGCUGAUCUCCCGGGUGGUGGACAGCUUCUUGCCUCCAGGUGUUUUCAUUUCAGCCGCUCAGUCCUAUCCCUUGCUCCCAAAUAUUGCCUCACUGGCCUUGACUCCCACGCUCUGUCCUGUGCCUUGGGAGAGGAGCAGGUUUUGAAGGCUUGGAAAUGACGAGCGGCGGGGCCGGCACAGCCUUUGUAGCAGGAGGAAUCGGUUCACGUAGCCUUCCUCCUGUGCCCGCUGCGCAUGCUGACUCCGCCUUUCUUGGCAGCUGCC